AGUUUGAUCCUGGCUCAGGACGAACGCUGGCGGCGUGCUUCAUACAUGCAAGUCGAACGAAAGUUACCUUCGGGUGAUGGAAAGUGGCGGACGGGUGAGUAAAAUGUAGGAAAUCUGCCCAGAGAGGGGGACAACAGAGGGAAACUUCUGCUAAUACCCCAUAUGAGCGUACCUGAAAUGUAUUCUUGAAAACUCCGGUGCUCUAGGAUGAGCCUGCAUCUGAUUAGCUAGUUGGGGGUGAAUGGACCACCAAGGCGACGAUCAGUAGCUGGUUUGAGAGGAUGAUCAGCCACAAUGGGAUGAGACACGGCCCAUACUCCUACGGGAGGCAGCAGUAGGGAAUUUUGCGCAAUGGGCGAAGCCUGACGCAGCAACGCCGCGUGAUUGAUGAAGCCCUUCGGGGUGUAAAGAUCUGUCAGUGGGACGAAACUUGACGGUACCCACAGAGGAAGCAUCGGCUAACUCCGUGCCAGCAGCCGCGUAAUACGGGGGAUGCAAGCGUUGUCCGGAAUCAUUGGGCGUAAAGAGUUCGUAGGUGGUUAUUAAGUCUGGUGUUAAAUGCAGGGGCUCAACUCCUGUUCGGCACUGGAUACUGGUAGAUUGAAUGCGGUAGAGGUAAAGGGAAUUCCUGGUGUAGCGGUGAAAUGCGUAGAUAUCAGGGGAACAUCGGUGGCGAAAGCGCUUUACUGGGCCGUAAUUGACACUGAGGAACGAAAGCCAGGUAGCAAAUGGGAUUAGAUACCCCAGUAGUCC
rnacentral:rRNA from 1 species